rnacentral:rRNA from 1 species
UGGUUGACCUCGGAUCAGGUAGGGAUACCCGCUGAACUUAAGCAUAUCAAUAA